rnacentral:rRNA from 1 species
GACGAACGCUGGCGGCGUGCUUAACGCAUGCAAGUCGAGCGGUAAGGCCCUUUCGGGGGUACACGAGCGGCGAACGGGUGAGUAACACGUGGGUGACCUGCCCUCAGCUCUGGGAUAAGCCCGGGAAACUGGGUCUAAUACUGGAUAUUACUCUGCGGUGCAUGCCGUGGGGUGGAAAGCCUUGUGCGGCUGGGGAUGGGCCCGCGGCCUAUCAGCUUGUUGGUGGGGUGAUGGCCACCAAGGCGACGACGGGUAGCCGGCCUGAGAGGGCGACCGGCCACACUGGGACUGAGACACGGCCCAGACUCCUACGGGAGGCAGCAGUGGGGAAUCUUGCGCAAUGGGCGAAAGCCUGACGCAGCGACGCCGCGUGA